GACGGGGGGUCCUAGCGUUGUUCGGAAUCAUUGGGCGUAAAGCGUGUGCAGGUGGUUUGGAAAGUUAGAUGUGAAAGCCUUGGGCUUAACCCAAGAAGUGCAUUUAAAACUCCCAAACUUGAGUAAGGAAGAGGGUCGUGGAAUUCCAGGUGUAGUGGUGAAAUGCGUAGAUAUCGGGAGGAACACCAGUGGCGAAGGCGACUUCCUGGCCUGUUCUUGACGCUGAGACGCGAAAGCGUGGGGAGCGAACAGG
rnacentral:rRNA from 1 species